ensembl:lncRNA
GGACACAGUGAGACCAGGAACCAGGUCCUCAGCAGCAACCAGCCACACCAGACUUCCAGGACAUGGAAGAAUCAUGUCUAUGAUUUAGGCCCCUCCAGCCUGUGGUGUUUCUGUUAUGAUAACUCAAGCCCAACCUGAUUCCGGUCCCCAAGGAGCAGCUUCCUGGUGGAGGCGAGUCACCAUCUGAACUUGGAGACGCUGGGAAGACAGGAUGGGCUGGGAGGAGGUGAACAGGACACACACCAGGUGGCAGAAAUGUCAAGGGCAAAGAUGCAUGGAGUUCAACCCAUUGUAUUUUAGGUGGACAUGGUUCCCAUAUGACAAUCCUGACUUCAGAUACCAGCUGUUGUGUGAUCUUAGUUCCUUGACCAGAGAUUGAACCUGUGCCCCCUGCAGUGGAAGUGCAGAGUCCUAACCACUGAACCAUCAGGGAAGUUCCCCCAGAGUUUCUUCUUAGGGUAAUGAAAAUGUUCUAGAAUUGAUCGUGGCCAUGGUUGCAUACAUCUGUGAAUAUACUAAAACCACUGAAUCAUACACUUUAAGGGGUGAGUCAUAUGAGGUGUGAAUUACAUCUCAAUAAAGCUAUUAGAAUAAAACAACAUGGCUGCAAUUCUAGGAUUUCUUGGCAGACCCAUU